UACGUAGGGCGCAAGCGUUAUCCGGAAUUAUUGGGCGUAAAGAGCUCGUAGGCGGUUUGUCGCGUCUGCCGUGAAAGUCCGGGGCUCAACUCCGGAUCUGCGGUGGGUACGGGCAGACUAGAGUGUGGUAGGGGAGACUGGAAUUCCUGGUGUAGCGGUGAAAUGCGCAGAUAUCAGGAGGAACACCGAUGGCGAAGGCAGGUCUCUGGGCCACUACUGACGCUGAGGAGCGAAAGCGUGGGGAGCGAACAGG
rnacentral:rRNA from 1 species